rfam:Triticum aestivum genome assembly, contig: Triticum_aestivum_CS42_TGACv1_scaffold_094212_2AL
AUCAUACUCCCUCCGUCCGAAAAAGCUUGUCCCUCAAAUGGAUGUAUCUAGCACUAACUUAGUGCUAGAUACAUCCAUUUAAGGGACAAGCUUUUCCGGACGGAGGGAGUAUGAA